CAAUGAUUUUUUUUUUUUUUUACUUUCUUUUUUGUUGCUCGAAAGAAGUAUGAUUUUACUCCCAACGAACGGAGAGCGAGGGUC
rnacentral:ribozyme from 1 species